rnacentral:rRNA from 1 species
GCGCAUACGGUGGAUGCCUUGGCAGUCAGAGGCGAUGAAGGACGUAGGAGCCUGCGAUAAGCGUUGGUGAGCUGGCAAGCAAGCUUUGACCCAACGAUUUCCGAAUGGGGAAACCCAACCAACAUAAGUUGGUUAUCUUGCACUGAAUUCAUAGGUGUAAGAAGCGAACGGGGGGAACUGAAACAUCUAAGUACCCCUAGGAACAGAAAUCAACCGAGAUUCCCUUAGUAGCGGCGAGCGAACGGGGACCAGCCGAUGUGAAUAGUAGUAGUGGAACAUUCUGGGAAGGAUGGCCAUAGUGGGUGACAGCCCCGUACACGAAGCUACUGUUUACACAUAUUAAGUAGGACGGGACACGUGAUAUCUUGUCUGAAGAUGGGGGGACCAUCCUCCAAGGCUAAAUACUCCUGACUGACCGAUAGUGAACCAGUACCGUGAGGGAAAGGCGAAAAGCACCCCGACGAGG